rnacentral:rRNA from 1 species
GACGAGCCUCACAAACGUUAUUCGGAAUCACUGGGCUUAAAGGGCGCGUAGGCGGGCUGUCAAGUCUGGGGUGAAAUCCCGCGGCUCAACCGUGGAACUGCCUUAGAUACUGACGGCCUCGAGGGAGGCAGGGGCGAGCGGAACGGGUGGUGGAGCGGUGAAAUGCGUUGAUAUCACUCGGAACUCCGGUGGCGAAAGCGGCUCGCUGGUCCUUUUCUGACGCUGAGGCGCGAAAGCUAGGGGAGCAAACGGG